rnacentral:rRNA from 1 species
GAUGAACGCUGGCGGCGUGCCUAAUACAUGCAAGUCGAGCGAACGGACGAGAAGCUUGCUUCUCUUAUGUUAGCGGCGGACGGGUGAGUAACACGUGGAUAACUUACCUUUAAGACUGGGAUACCUUCGGGAAACCUGAUCUAAUACCGGAUAAUAUUUUGAACCGCAUGGUUCAACAGUGAAAGACGUUCUUGCUGUCACUUAUAGAUGUUUCCUCGCUGCAUUAGCUAGUUGGUAAGGUAACGGCUUACCAAGGCAACGAUGCAUAGCCGACCUGAGAGGGUGAUCGGCCACACUGGAACUGAGACACGGUCCAGACUCCUACGGGAGGCAGCAGUAGGGAAUAUUCCGCAAUGGGCGAAAGCCUGACGGAGCAACGCCGCGUGAGUGAUGAAGGUCUUCGGAUCGUAAAACACUGUUAUUAGGGAAGAACAUAUGUGAAAGUAAAUGUGCACAUCUUGACGGUACCUAAUCAGAAAGCCACGGCUAACUACGUG